UUUCCAAUUUUUCAUUAGUUGUAAGUUCUUUCUGAUGCAGAAUCUAGUCCAGAUCACACAUUACAUUUAUUUGCCUCCUGAGUAGCUGGGAUUAUCAUGCCCAACUAAUUUUUGUAUUUUUAGUAAAGAUGGGGUUUCGCCAUUUUGUGCAGGCUGAUCUUGAACUCCUGACCUCAUGAUCUACCCGCCUUGGCCUCCCAAAAUGCUGUGAUUACAGGCAUGAGCCAUUGCCCCCGGGCUUGCAAGCUCUUUUUUAACUUCUCUUCCUGGACAAGUCUCUGUUGUGGCUCUCCUUCAGUGUCUCUGGCCAGUCAUUCUCAGACUGGGAAAGCCAGGUCCUUCUCCUCCUUGGCCUUCUCAUCAUCCAUCUCCUUCCUCCUGGGCCACUCUUCUGUCCUCAUUUAUUCCGGGUUUUUCCUUUUCAAAAACCUGUUUCAUUCUUAUGUAUCCUGUGGACUUGAUGAAAUCUUACAUGACUUCAUACAAUCACAUGGCACGCGUCUCCUGGAAAGUUCAGAGAUCUGUCUGUUCAUUAACCCCCUCCAGUGGGACUCUCAUUGAUGUGGCAGCAGCAACAUGAGGAAUAGAAUCAGAAAACAUUUCCUGUAGCCAUUUGGCUCAUUGGAGUGAAGGAAUUUUUUUUACAGUUUUCAAGUUAUGCUGUUUUCUAAAGUUUUGACCAUUUAUUUUUAUGUCACAGAGAUGAAAUUGAUUUUGAGGUCUUAUUUUUGUUACACAAAUCUAGAGGAGAGUGUGUCAGUAUCUCUUCUAAGUAUUAGACACAUUCAUUUGCUUUUUCCUGGAGGAAAACAUGCAGGAACAAGAACCCAAAAUUCUAGAUAUCAUUAAUUUUUUAAAUUUAAAUAAUUUCUAAGAGAAAAGAGACGUUAUCCAUACAAUAAUUAUGCAACUCCAGUUAUUAUUAUUAUUAGUAUUAUUUUUGAGACAGAGUCUCACCCUGUUGCCCAGGCUGGAGUACAGUGGUGUGAUCUCAGCUCACUGCAACCUCUGCCUCUCAGGUUCAAGCGAUUCUCCUGCCUCAGCCUCCCGAGUAGCUGGGAUUACAGGCACAUGCUACCACACCUGGCUAAUUUUUUGUAUAUUCAGUAGAGACGGGGUUUCACCAUGUCUGUCUUGACCAUGAGGCCUCACCACCAUGUGCUCACCAUCAUAAGGCCAGGCUGGUCUUGAACUCCCUACCUCAGGUGAUCUGUCCACCUUGGCCUCCCAAAGUGCUGCAAUUAUAGGUGUGAGCCACUGCGCAUGGCCCCCAGUUAUGUUUGAAUGGUUGCUUUCCAUCUUGUGGGUGUGUUCUUUAGCAAUGACCAGGCUGAAGCAAGUUCCUCCCAGAUAGUUCCAUCUUUGCAAAUUAAGAGAAAGACAGCUAGUGUGGAUAAUGGAAGGGUGACUUCCAAUGUAUUCUCUGGAAUUUUAGUGAAAAAAUUAAUAGUGGGUACAGCUCUGCACAGAUGGGCUCCCUUGGUUCAUGUGACCACAGAUGUUUUGGUAUCGUAUUGCAUGUGAUUUCUGUAGCUGUUAAGGUAUUCCCAUAGUAAUACUUAUGUGGACACGUUCUUGUAAAACUUCCCACCAAAAUUCAGAGUGAAAAAACUAACAUAUCAGGGUGAAAUUAUCUCAGGAUGCAAUAUGAAGUCUUAAGAAGUAUAACUAUUCAUUUCUUGUCUAAAUUGAACUUGAAUCUUGAGAUAAUCCCAGAAAGUUUUGACCUCGCCCUGCCUCCGUCCUUAAAUACAUUCCCUUGAGUUAGGUUGAGCCAUCAGACUGGUUUGCAGAGUGCCCAGUCCCAAAGGCUGGGCAAGAGACCGGUCUUUGGUCUUCAUGACUCAGCAUCCAGUCUCUGAGGGUGGGUGAGGCUCAGUCCUCAGUCUUGGUGACUGUCUUUGUCUGCUUGUGCUGCUAUAACAAAAUACUGGGUAAUUUAUAAACAAUGAACAUUUAUUUCUCCCGGUUCUGGGGGUGGUAAGUCCAAGAUCAAGUUCCCAGCAGGUUCAGUGUGUGGUGAGGGCUACUCUCCGCUUCCAAAGAUGGUGCCUUGUUGCAGCAGCCUCAGGAGGAGAUGAACGUCGUGUCCUCAUAUGCUGGUGAGCAUGGGCUGCGGGGUCUCGUCCUCAUCUGGGGUGUCCGUACUGGUGAGGGUGGGCUGGGGUGGUCUCAUCCUCAUCUAGGGGGUUUCUGUAGCAGUGAGGGUGGGCUGCGGGGUGUCAUCCUCAUCUGUGGGAUGUCCGUGCUGGCCAUCACCGAGUUGAGCACUUCCCAUCCUGGAGUCUUGGCCACAACCCUCACAUACAGACAAAAGUCGAUUUGGGUCCAGCGGCUCUUUCAGCACGUGGUGCCAACCUAAGACAUGAGGCCUCCUGCUGGAGCUCCAGGAAACUCUAGUCUCUGCCCUCCUCUUGCAUCCGUAGGAUCGCUGGGCUGCUGCUGGGGCUUGGCAAUCCUCAGAGACCUUGGACUUGUCUGCUUGGAGAUAAGGCACAGUCAUUUCAUCUCCAACUGCUGCCAAGCCCUGCUGGCUGGCAGGACAUUUGGACUCUCUCUCCCUGGGUUUUCCCAGGACAGAGGUUACAGAUCCUUCAGCUCUUAGGCUGAUGUCACUUCCACUCCUUGAUCUCAGCUUACAGGAAAGGUGGAGAGAAAAGGCGAUCAGAGCAGAGUCCCUUUCUGAAGACACACUUGGUCCUCCCCUGCCUGGGUCUGCAGGGGUCAGAAGCAUUUCCAUAGCAGUCAUUUUCAUACAGGCCCUGGCUCCCAUUAGGCAACCUUCCUCUUUGGAAAACCCAAUAGCCAGGAAUUUAAAAGGCAGGACUCUUUUCUCUUAAUUUUCUCCUGAAAAACCCUUCCCUGAGGCAACCAGACCCAGCUGCUGCCCAAAUAGGAAGGAAGGUCAGAAUUGACAGGAAUUCACAAGGAAAGAGAGCAUAGGUUUAUAUUUCAGGGUAUCAGUCAUGCGGCCAUGGGAUCAGAUUUGGAACUCUGUGAUUAAGCUAAUUUCUGGCAUUAGGCUCAAUCCCUCUGUGACAGAGAAGUGUAAAAUUGUCAAAAAAUGAGCAUUAUUUUAGCAACACAAUCCUGACACUAUGAGAGGGAGAAAACUGGGUUGGAUCAAGUAUUCAUCUUACCCAGUAAGCCAUUAUAACUCAGGCUUUUGAUGCAUAUUUUGGGCUGUUAUUCAUCAAGGUGGUCAAAGUCAUGAAGAACUGUAUGUUAUUCUAUAAUAUACUUUCUAUAUUAAGUCUGUUCAGAUGAUACCACAUUUUCUACAUCACUGAUCCAUUAAAAAAAAAUCUUUCUUUGAAUGCCUCUUGCCACUAAUCAGGCUAUGAUAUUCAGUUUUUGAGAUAGGUUAACAAAUUGAAAACCCAGCUUUAAAUGUUAUGGUAGUUUAAAAAUAGAAGUGUUUUACUUCAAACUAUUCUGAGUUGCUGCUUAGAGCAAUAAAAAUGUACUUUAUAGCUUGUUAACCUAGAUCUCAGGGAUAUCCGUUCUACAAUAAUGGAAGUAGAUUUGUUUACUGUCUAAAUCAGCCUUGUCAGAACAAUGCUCUCCAGUGACUUUUUAAAGUCAGAGUAAACCAAUACAUUCUGUCUUCUGUGAUUAUACAGCAUGGCAUGGUGUUCUCUUGUAUACUUGUGUUUUGAAUAUGAGUAACAGUCUUUAGCUGACUUUAGCAUUUUGGAGAAAUCUGUAUAUGUGGCUUCUACUUAUAUAAGCAUCUACCAAAUAUAUUAACUGAGUUUUAUAGUCCGGUUAUUUUCCAUUUCAGUUACUUCCAAGACUCUUCGAUAUGCACUUACAUACUUCAUACUCAUUAAAUGAAGAUAUUGGAAGCUACCUUAUUUUGAGGUACAGCAUAAAGCACCAGCAGAGCUUAGUUACUACACAUUUUAGCACAAUCUCCUGUAAGUUACUGCAUGCUGCAAAAGAGCUGAAUGAGUCAACAGACAUUGUAAUGGUGAUGUGUAACUCAUAACCUGAAAUAAACUAUGUCAAAUCG
rnacentral:lncRNA from 1 species